rnacentral:rRNA from 1 species
GAUGAACGCUAGCGGCAGGCUUAAUACAUGCAAGUCGAACGGGAUUCGGGGUAGCAAUACUUUGAUGAGAGUGGCGCACGGGUGCGUAACGCGUAUGCAACCUACCUUUAACAGGUGAAUAGCCCCGAGAAAUCGGGAUUAAUACACCGUAACAUUGCGCUGUGGCAUCACAGUGCAACUAAAGAUUUAUCGGUUAAAGAUGGGCAUGCGUGACAUUAGCUAGUUGGUGAGGUAACGGCUCACCAAGGCAACGAUGUCUAGGGGUCCUGAGAGGGUUAUCCCCCACACUGGUACUGAGACACGGACCAGACUCCUACGGGAGGCAGCAGUAAGGAUAUUGGUCAAUGGGCGCAAGCCUGAACCAGCCAUGCCGCGUGCAGGAAGACGGCCCUAUGGGUUGUAAACUGCUUUUGUCAGGGAUAAACCUGUCUACGUGUAGACAGCUGAAGGUACCUGAAGAAUAAGCAUCGGCUAACUCCGUGCCAGCAGCCG